CGUGAAGCCUGUCGAGUCGACCUAACGUGGGAGAAGAGACUUUGCAACACCUGGAGUUAAAGUAGAUUAUUUUAGUAACGUAAACUUAUCUUCAAUAAUAUGUUUCCUGCACAUAAUUUCUUCCCUGUGAAUUAUUCUGUCUAAAAUAAAGUCUAAUCAUUGCAAAACGCACUUCUAAAGAUCUCCGUAAACCAGUGGACCAGUGGCUAUAAUGUUGCUUCCUCAUUUUGUGAUCAAUAAUUUUUGCUGAAUGUGAACCAGUGGUCUCAUCCUGCUUUGCGAUUAUGUUGGUUUUGAGAUUAGCUUUCUAGAUAAUUGCAUGAUUUUAAUAUUUGAAAUAAAUAUCCAUUGUUU